rnacentral:misc_RNA from 1 species
AGUUAAACAGUACGUGAAAUUGUUGAAAGGGAAACGAUUGAAGCCAGUCGUACCUUCGGGUAAUCAGCCUUUCGGGUGCGAUUCUGUGGAGUUUGAGGAGCUUAACACCUUCAUGCUUUGCAUAUUCGUGCUCUUGGGUGUACUUGCUCGUAUGGUUGGUUAACAUCAAUUUUGGUGGUCAUAAAAUGACUGGAGGAAUGUAGCUUCGAUCUCGUAUUGAAGUGUUAUAGCCUUUGGUAGAUGUGAUUAUUGAGAUUGAGGAUUGCAACGGAUACCCUUCGGGGCUACCUGUCUGAUCUCUGAUCGUUGCUCUGGUGCCGAAAGCUUGCUUACGGUUAUCAAAGUCGAUGGUCAAUAGGUUAGAAUGGGUUAAUUUCGUUAAGGAUGUUGACGUAAUGGCUUUAAA